AUUUUGAGGCCGUAGGGGAGAGACAGGCCUUAAGAUGUACUGUAUAAAUCAUCAAAAAUGUGAUGUACUAUACCUUCUUGGCAUAAACUGGAAAUUUAAAAAAAAAAAUAGUGCUGCAAAUAGAAUUGCUUCCUUUGGGCUUAAACCGGAUUGGCAGCAACACAGAUUCUGCUGUGCGCUGAAGUCAUUUUCUACUUUGGCACUACUCAGUCCACGGGGAAUGGUGGAGUCAUGAUUUAGCAGCAAGAUUCUGGGAGCAGGCCAGCAUCUACAUCUGUUCUGAACUGGAUAUCUUUGGUUGAGAGCGGAAAUGGAAAAGAUGUACCAAUGAGGAAAGCUGAGUAUUCUACAGAAGCAGGCACGAGGAACCACCCAGGCAAAGACAAGAAUGAGGAGAAUUGAGAAGAAAGGCUGGAAUGUGUCAAUGCCAACAGAGGGCUGAAAUUAUCCCGCAUCCAACCACCAAAGACUACCGUGUUUUGGGACAUAAAGAAUCUGGCACUAGCAGUCCGACAUCACAGUGCGGUACCAAUUGCCUCCACCUUAUUUUUGUUUCCCAUAUAUAUUACAAAACACUUCCUUUAAUAAAAAGGGCUCUCUUCGUCUAUGCAAAAUAUUCUAAUUCAAGGACCUAACCGCCACACAUAGUACAUGGCCUAGAAUACAAGUUCAGUUUCAAACACUUGAAAGUGGGGCAUGGGGGCCUCCUUUUCUCUCUAAGAGCACCCCUGCCAACCUUGCUACACCACUAUAUUGAAUUUCCUCAAAGCAAACGAAAACAAAAGCCUUUUAUAUUGCCAUGUAUUUUUAAACCAGUGGCUUCUUUCGCAUAGUUCCACUUAUUACGUAACUAAGGAGAAAAAAGACUAUUCAUACGGAGAGGAAAAUUCUUUGAAAAUGUUGCAAACUUUGUAAAAUACAGCAUAUUAUGAAAAAAAUAAUUUUCAAUGAAAAAAACAAUUUAAAAAACUGAUUAAAUGUUAAUGUAGGCACCCCAAUAAUUUUAGAAUAUUCUACACAAAAUCUAUGUAUUAGGUUUCAGUGAAGUGAAAACUAUCCUGCAGAGAUGGAAAUAUACCUUGAUGUUUUGUUCAUGUUCUUUACAAAGGAUUGGCAUCUCUGAAGACAGAACAGAUAGAAAAAGGAAGUCCGUUUUAUUAUUUUUUUUAUUUUUAUGUUUUGAAGUCUGUGUUUUAAAAAAUGAUCUUAGGCAACCAUGACCUUCACAUUUGUCGAAAUUUGACUUGCUCUGCUGUUAUUAAUGGGCUCAGGCAAAUUUACUUCCUUAUAACAUUUAUGUAUGUCACAUGAUAGAAUAAAUAUUCAAAGACAAAAUCAAUCAUAAAUAAAAAUAACCCAUAAUACUUAUUACGAGGAAACUGAGGCAUGGCCUAUCAAACCUUUUAAUAGGCUAACAAAUCAAACUGAAAAUAUUUAGCAACUUUACUCAUAUUUGCUAACAGCAUCUUUCUGAGAUAAUUCCAAGUGGCUUACAGACUAUACCAUUAUUCCUAUAGAUAAGAAAGUCUGAAGGGACCUGCACUACUUCAAAUCUCUAUUUUAUUUAUUCAUUCAUUCAUUCAUUCAUUCAUGAGACACACACACACACACACAGAGGCAGAGACACAGGCAGAGGGAGAAGCAGGCUCCUUGCAGGGAGCCUGACAUGGGACUCCAUCCCAGGUCGUCAGGAUCACACCUGGGGCUGAAGGUGGCGCUAAACCGCUGAGCCACCAGGGCUGCCC
rnacentral:lncRNA from 1 species